rnacentral:rRNA from 1 species
AUUGAACGCUGGCGGCAGGCCUAACACAUGCAAGUCGAACGGUAACAGGAAGAAGCUUGCUUCUUUGCUGACGAGUGGCGGACGGGUGAGUAAUGUCUGGGAAACUGCCUGAUGGAGGGGGAAAACUACGGGAAACGGUGGCUAAUACGCAAUAACGUCGCAAGACCAAAAAGGGGGACCUUCGGGCCUCUGGCCAUCGGAUUUCCCCAGAUGGGAUUAGCUAGUAGGUGGGGUAACGGCUCACCUAGGCGACGAUCCCUAGCUGGUCUGAGAGGAUGACCAGCCACACUGGAACUGAGACACGGUCCAGACUCCUACGGGAGGCAGCAGUGGGGAAUAUUGCACAAUGGGCGCAAGCCUGAUGCAGCCAUGCCGCGUGUAUGAAGAAGGCCUUCGGGUUGUAAAGUACUUUCAGCGGGGAGGAAGGGAGUAAAGUUAAUACCUUUGCUCAUUGACGUUACCCGCAGAAGAAGCACCGGCUAACUCCGU